GCUUCACAGGAUCAGCCAUGGCUUGAAGCAAAAGCAAGAAUAAACAAAACAAUACAGAGCAUGACAUUCCCAGGGAAGAGGAGCAGCUACUCAACAUAGAUGUUUACUAUUUCAAGCAGAAGGUGUUACUGACAUCAGAGGAAUGAUUAUCUUACUCUCCCUGAGGAUUAAUGACAACAGAAAGGACAUUAUUCCCUUUGUCCUUUUUACAGCAACAAUUUUGUACAUUUUUUGUAAAUACACUCUAAUGGACACUAUGGCUUAGGUAUGUAAGCCAAAAUUACCAUUAACAGGACAAAGAAAGACUAAUAAAUAUUCAAAAGAACAGUGGACAAUAGACAGCAUGUGUCUGUCUGUACAUUGCCAUCCCUUAUAAGCAGAGAUCUUUCUUUUUUUCACAUGGAUGUUGGGUCAGUCAAUCGAAAUAAGUGGAAAUAACUCAUCAUCUAUGAAGUCGUAAGCUCAGAUAAUGAAAGCAAUGUGCCGAAUUAGAAGGACAAAUGAAAUAAUUGUUUUGAAAAUGCUUAAAGAAUGAUGGGGCUUUGUCAAUAAUUACGAAUUAGUCCAGAGGCUGAAGAAAUUACUACAGCAUAUGCAGAAGAUGCAUCUCCCAAACAAUCUGUUCCAUUAGCCAUGGUGUGCCAGUCAGACACCCAAGUCAUAACAGCUGCUCAUUGAAGUCAACUUUGUCAAUCGAAAACAUAAGAAAUGUAUGUCUGAUUUUAUUUUAUUUUCAUUUGUAUAGGUAUCUGCUAAUACCUCCAUAAUAGCUAAUACAGAGAUCUAUUUCCAGACUUACUUAAAGCAGUUUAAGUUUGUGGGGAAAAAAGCUUAUUGUGAUAACAUCAAGUACAAUGAAAAAAAACAAAAACAAGUUUCAAUGGACCUUCAGUCGAAUCUAAGGGCAGAUGCAUUUACACAGACACACUUACUGAUACUGGGUCAUGUAACCUUCUAUUCAUGUCUUGGUUAAUGAAGAAGAAAAACAGACUACUCAGGAAAAACUUAUCCAGGCAUGGAGAGAAUGUGCAAACUCCAUGCCAGUAAAGAGGUCAAUAUCCAAACUCAGGAUAUGCUGUUUCAGUAUUGUAACUGUUUUAUUUCUUUCUAUUAUGCAUUUUCAGGUUGUUAUCUGUAUUGUAAUAACAGUUAUUUAUUUAUACUUUCUUAUGUUUUUUAAGCUGCAUGAUCUCUAGUCAAAGUCACUUGGAAUUUUUCAUUUUACUUUUUAUAGACAUUUGCAUGAUUUGACAACCCUUUCACACAAAAGCUCACACACAGAGGUGAAAUUGGAUUUCAUGUUGAUAGAUCAUACUCUCAUUUUUAAUAAAAUGAUUCAAUUCUACUACUUGUGCCCAAGUAACAUUCAGUACUUCAUUUACUGUGUAUAGUCCCACGAAAAGUAAAAAUACUUGUUUCAAAAAUUUCUCAUUUCAUAUUUUUAUCUUUGAAAUUCCUUAUAAUAAAAAAAACAUUUUGUAACUUGUACUAACAGUUAAUGAAUUUUGUAAACAGGAAGCUGAUUCAACUGCAAGGUUCUCAUCACAGAUCUGGAUUGAAAUCUGGACAGUCUGUGACAUUUAACAUACUAUGGCAUCUGGCUGUGACUCCAUCUGACUUCCGGUUUAACUUUUGUAUGGUUAGAUAGCUAAGCAGUCUUAAUUAAAACCAUAAAAAGCUGGACAUGGGCCUCUAUGCUGCAUUGCUACAGAAAAACAGACAUAAAAAACAAUAGAAUAUAAUAUAUAAUAUAGAGUAACAAUUAAAGGAAAACAAAAAUAAAUUAUGACACAAAUAAGUUGAAAGAAUAUCAUUUGCAUUUGCAACAAUCUGUAAUAAUAAAAAUAGGAAAGAAAUAGCUUCUGUACAGCAGUAGUUGACAAAGCAUCAUGGAUAUCAUGGAUGUUACAAUUUGUUUUGUGAAUUGGCUAUCAAUGUUGUUAAAGCAGUGGAAUAUUCUACUGGUAAAAGACUGCUUUAUUUAACAUUUUUUAACAUUUCUUAUCUUCACCAUCAUGGAAAGGUAUGUUCUCUUCCAAUCAUCCCCAUUCUUUUUAUAGAAAAUGAGCUGGUUUUCUCAGUAUGUGUUAAAAACAUACAAGUGUAUAGGACUGUAAUCGAGCCUUAUCUUUUUAGGAGGACAAUUCAAUUGACCAUAACUACAAAGUUAAAAAUGACUUAAAAGCUGAUGAAUAAGUUAUCCAUCAAAAAUAUGCAGGUCCUGUUUUCAGCACCACUUAUAGUUGUUGAGUGCUUUGUAAUAAUAGUAUGGAAUGGAGUUCAACAAGUUAAUGGAAUGAAAAAGUGUACUUUGUGUUCCUAGUUAUUUUUGAAACAAAGAAAAAGAAAGAAUAAUUAUUUAUGGAAUUUUUAAUAUGAUAAGAAGCUAAAUAGCUUAUAAAAAGUAUACUUUCAUAAUCCCUUUUUAACUGCCAGCCGUGGAAAAGAGAAAAAAAUGUAGCUAAUCUAGCCUUAUCACAUUUGGCUGGGUCUGAAUGAACAGCACAUUACUCUUGAAUAAUUUAUGAUGCUUUCCUAAACAAGCUAGCUGCUGGCAAUUCUGGACUCAUUUGCAGUAUGACAUAACUAUACUUUCCUAAAUAUCUAGUUGAAGUAAAAUGGGAAUAUAUUUGAAAGCAUUACGCAAAAGAUGGUUUACGAUGACAAUAUUGCCUUUGAAAGAAAGCAAGAAAUUAAUUAACAUCUGUUGCAGCAGCUAAAUUUUGUUUACAUUUCAGAGACAUACUGUAAUAAUAUAUGUCAAGAUACAACCACAGAUCAUUGUAGUUUCAGUUACUGCAAGUGUCCUUCUCAUUAGGUAAUAACUCAUUUCAGCAAGAAUGCUGGAUUAGACAAAUAACAUUGGUCUUUGCUAUGCUUUUUUUCUAGAUGUCUCCGUUUCAUAACAGCACAAAUGUCUUACAUUUCAGAGUAAGAUAUUUGCCUACAGUUCUCAUUGCUGCUAAAUGAAAUGAUAAUGAUCUCAGCAAGAUUUUUUAUCAUUCAUCAUUAGAAACAUAAUGCAUGUCAUUCGUAUCUAUAAAAUUGAGUGUGUGUUUGGGAUGUCACAAUUUUCUGAAAUGAAUAGCAACACUACUGUAAUAAAGUGUUUAUUUGACAUGGUGAAGGGUGAGUGCAUAAAUUAUUUAGAAAAUAAUUUACAAUAUGUAAGUGUUAAAAGCAAAACACCAGCUGACUAACUAAACAAAUGUUUUUUUUCUGUUAUUCUCCCCCUGAGAUGUCCUGUCCAAUAAUAACCUAUCUUGAAAGAUUAAUAAUAUCCUCCUUCAUUUUAAUUUAUGUAUCCUUUUAUCAUCUUUAUAUUGCUUUUGGAUAAAAGUAUGCAGCAGUAAUAAAUUCCAAUCUGCUUAAUCAA